rnacentral:rRNA from 1 species
UACGUAGGGACCGAGCGUUGUCCGGAAUCAUUGGGCGUAAAGAGCGUGUAGGCGGCCUGUUAAGUCUUGCGUGAAAUCUCGGGGCUCAACCCCGAGCGGUCGUGAGAAACUGGCAGGCUAGAGUGCGGGAGAGGAGAGUGGAAUUCCUGGUGUAGCGGUGAAAUGCGCAGAUAUCAGGAAGAACACCCGUGGCGAAAGCGGCUACCUGGCCCAUUCUUGACGCUGAGGCGCGAAAGCUAGGGGAGCAAACGGG